CUGCGUACGUCUUGUAUAAUGGGACAGCGACUUACAUUCAGGGGCAAGGUUAACCAUCUAGGGGAGCCGCAGGGAUACAGAGUCUGAACUGGGCGCUCAGUCUCUGGAUAUAGACACGAAACGAGGUGAUCUAGCCAUGGGAAGGUUGAAGGUCGAGAAACAUUAACUGGAGGACUGUACCGACUAAUGUUGAAAAAUUAGCGGAAGACUUGUGGCUAGGGGUGAAAGGCCAAUUAAACCGGGAGAGAGCGGGUUCUCCACGAAAGAUAUUUAGGUAGCGCCACGGACGACUGCUACUGGGAGUAGAGCACUGGUAAGGCUAGGGGGUGAACUCGACUUACCAACCCAUUGCAAUUUGCCAAGACCAGUAAGUACUGUCCGGGAGGCUCACGGCGGGAACUCACGCCCAUCGUGGAGAGG
rnacentral:rRNA from 1 species